rnacentral:misc_RNA from 1 species
UCUAGACCUAGCUGCUAUAGAAGCUCCAUCUAUCAAUGGCUAAGACCCUGGUCUUAGUGUAUAGGAGUUAUUGAAAAAUAAAGGAGCAAUAAUCACCUUCUUGUUCUAUCAAGAGGGUGGUAUUGCUCCUUUAUUUUCUUUUCCUUUUAUUUAUUCUAGUAUUUUAUUUUUAUAAAUUUUUAUUCUUUUCUUUGCAUUACGCAGAAAGCAAAGGACUUUUAGUUUUAUGAGGUUUGAGUAUCAUACUUUAUUUUUUUUAAUUUGUAAUUAAUAUUAUAUUAUAUUUUGAAUCUUUGUAUCUCCGAAAUAGAAAUAAAAACUAGAAAUACUAAUAAGAAAGAAAAUGGUCGAAACGAAAUUCGAAAUAGAAUAGAAUUGAAAAUGAAAUAUUUAAUAUUCUAAAUAAAUUCGAAUUCAAUAAAUUCGAAUAAGAAAUAAAUAGAAGAAAUAAGAGUGAAGGGGGCGGAUGUAGCCAAGUGGAUCAAGGCAGUGGAUUGUGAAUCCACCAUGCGCG